rnacentral:lncRNA from 1 species
ACAUGGUUUAUGUCGGUUAGACGAACCUCCCUAACUGAAAAGAAUAGCAAAAAAAGUUUUUAGAAGAAAAUCCCUAAUUCCUAAGUCCUAAAACAGAAUAAUAGAAUAGUGUUCUUAGAAACUAAGUUUAAAGGCUCACAAAUUUACUUAGAUAUUUUCUUAUAAAAGACGUCAGUUAUUAGAUUUCAGCUUUAAGUUUGC